AUUGAACGCUGGCGGCAUGCCUUACACAUGCAAGUCGAACGGCAGCGCGGACUUCGGUCUGGCGGCGAGUGGCGAACGGGUGAGUAAUACAUCGGAACGUACCCUGUUGUGGGGGAUAACUAGUCGAAAGAUUAGCUAAUACCGCGUACGACCUGAGGUGAAAGUGGGGACCGCAAGGCCUCACGCAGCAGGAGCGGCCGAUGUCUGAUUAGCUAGUUGGUGGGGUAAAGGCCCACCAAGGCGACGAUCAGUAGCUGGUCUGAGAGGACGAUCAGCCACACUGGGACUGAGACAGGCCCAGACUCCUACGGGA
rnacentral:rRNA from 1 species